UCAACCCUACAGUCGGCCCUGUGAUACCAGGAGAGGUAUGUACCCUACACACUAACCUCACUACCUAAACCUACAGUAGGCCCCUGUGAUACCAGGAGAGGUAUGUACCCUACACACUACCUCACUACCUAACCUACGUAGGCCCCUGUGAUCCAGGAGAGGUAUGUACCCUACACACUACCUCCCUACCUCAACCCUACAGUAGGCCCCUGUUAUACCAGGAGAGGUAUGUACCCUACACACUACCUCAACCCUACAGUAGGCCCCUGUCAUACCAGGAGAGGUAUGUACCCUACACACUACCUCACUACCUCAACCUACAGUCGGCCCCUGUGAUACCAGGAGAGGUAUUACCCUACACACUACCCCCAACCCUACAGUAGGCCCCUGUGAUACUAGAGAGGUUGUACCCUACACAUACCUCAACCCUACAGUAGGCCCCUGUGAUACCAGGAGACGUAUGUACCCUACACACUACCUCACUACCUCAACCCUACGUAGGCCCCUGUGAUACCAGGAGGGUAUGUACCCUACACACUACCUCACACUCAACCCUACAGUAGGCCCCUGUGAUACCAGGAGAGGUAUUGUACCCUACACACUACCUACUCCUCAACCCUACAGUAGCCCCUGUGAUACCCGGAGGGGUCAUUACCCUACAACACUACCUCAACCCUACAGUAGGCCCCUGUGAUACCAGGAGAGGCACCAAGGUGGUGGCUCGCUGUCUGAAGCUAAUCAAACCCUACGUGAGGAAGGAGGUGGUCGAGGCUGAGGAUGACGAUGAUAACGACGAUGAUGAUGGGGGAGGAGCAAAUAGGAAGACCGUCCCCACAGAGGGGCGGAUCAUGGAGAGAGACUUCCUCUCACAGGCCUAUGGGAUCAUUGUGUCCUGCGGGACCAAGGGCAUCUCUCAGAGUGCGUUGCGUGCGAGGAUGUGCAUCGGCAAGCUGGAGUCUCGUAUGAUCUGCCGACUGCUGGAGAGGACAGACAUGAUCAAGGUAAAAUCUGUGUGUGUGUGUGUGGUGUGUGUCUGUGUCUGUGUGUGUCUGUCUCUCUCUCUGUGUGUGUGUGUGUGUCUGUGUCUGUGUGUGUUUGUCUCUGUGUGUGUGUGUGUGUGUGUGUCUGUCUGUGUCUGUGUGUGUGUGUACAUUACAUAAAUAGAUACACGGAAAUGUCAUCUACUGUGAUGUCACCGUUGUUUUGUCAUAGAUCAUCAUUGAUCUGUCAUUUUUCUGUCUGUUGAAGCUGAUUGAACUGUGUCUGUCUGUCAUUGAACUGUGUCUGUCUGUCAUUGAACUGUGUGAAGAUGCUGUCUGUCUGUCAGAACUGUGUUCUGUUCUGUCAGUUGAAGCGUUGAU
rnacentral:lncRNA from 1 species